rnacentral:rRNA from 1 species
GAUGAACGCUGGCGGCGUGCCUAAUACAUGCAAGUCGAGCGAACAGAUGAGGAGCUUGCUCCUCUGACGUUAGCGGCGGACGGGUGAGUAACACGUGGAUAACCUACCUAUAAGACUGGGAUAACUUCGGGAAACCGGAGCUAAUACCGGAUAAUAUAUUGAACCGCAUGGUUCAAUAGUGAAAGACGGUUUUGCUGUCACUUAUAGAUGGAUCCGCGGCGCAUUAGCUAGUUGGUAAGGUAACGGCUUACCAAGGCAACGAUGCGUAGCCGACCUGAGAGGAUGAUCAGCCACACUGGAACUGAGACACGGUCCAGACUCCUACGGGAGGCAGCAGUAGGGAAUCUUCGGCAAUGGGCGCAAGCCUGACGGAGCAACGCCGCGUGAGUGAUGAAGGUCUUCGGAUCGUAAAGCUCUGUUAUUAGGGAAGAACAAAUGUGUAAGUAACUAUGCACGUCUUGACGGUACCUAAUCAGAAAGCCACGGCUAACUACGUG